CCUACGGGUGGCAGCAGUGGGGAAUAUUGCACAAUGGGGGAAACCCUGAUGCAGCGACGCCGCGUGAGUGAAGAAGUACUUCGGUAUGGAAAGCUCUAUCAGUAGGGAAGUAAAUGACGGUACCUGACCAAGAUGCCACGGCCAAGUACGUGCCAGCAGCCGCGGUAAUACGGAGGGGGCAAGCGUUAUCCGGAUUUACCGGGUGUAAAGGGAGCAUAGACGGUCAGACAAGUCAGAAGUGAAAGCCCAGGGCUCAACCCUGGGACUGCUGUUGAAACUGCCGGGCUGGAGUUCAUGGGAGGUAAGCGGAAUGCCUGGUGUAGCGGUGAAAUGCGUAGAUAUUAGGAGGAACACCAGUGGCGAAGGCAGCUUGCUGGGCUGUGACUGACGUUGAGGCUCGAAAGCGUGGGGAUCAAACAGGAUUAGAUACCCUAGUAGUC
rnacentral:rRNA from 1 species